rnacentral:lncRNA from 1 species
CAGCGAUGCACCUGACUAUUGUUUGGGUUGGGCUUUGUUGUUCCCAUUCUGAGGGAUGUUUUUCAACCUUGAAUCUUUCCAGUGACUAUGAAUCUGGGGCCGGAUUUACAGCUUUACUUAUUCAGCAUCUGCUCAGGUUUGGCCAGCGCCGGUGGACGUGCUGGUUUGCUUCCACGCUAACCCGUCGGGUUAUUACGGUACGAACAGAACGGCGCUUUCUUCUUCCUACUGCUCUACUUAGUUCUGCGUUUCAGAAGGGCCGUCGGGUGCGCAGAUACUCUUCGAAGGACGGCAGCACGCCCGCCCGUGGCCGCCGCGGUGGUGUCCCACUUCAACGACUGCCCGGACUCCCACAGCCAGUUCUGCUUCCAUGGAACCUGCAGGUUUCUGGUGCAGGAGGACAAGCCCGCGUGCGUCUGCCACUCCGGGUACGUCGGGGCGCGCUGUGA